rnacentral:rRNA from 1 species
ACGUUAAUCGGGGCAGGGUGAGUCGACCCCUAAGGCGAGGCCGAAAGGCGUAGUCGAUGGGAAACAGGUUAAUAUUCCUGUACUUGGUGUUACUGCGAAGGGGGGACGGAGAAGGCUAUGUUGGCCGGGCGACGGUUGUCCCGGUUUAAGCGUGUAGGCUGGUUUUCCAGGCAAAUCCGGAAAAUCAAGGCUGAGGCGUGAUGACGAGGCACUACGGUGCUGAAGCGACAAAUGCCCUGCUUCCAGGAAAAGCCUCUAAGCAUCAGGUAACAUCAAAUCGUACCCCAAACCGACACAGGUGGUCAGGUAGAGAAUACCAAGGCGCUUGAGAGAACUCGGGUGAAGGAACUAGGCAAAAUGGUGCCGUAACUUCGGGAGAAGGCACGCUGAUAUGUAGGUGAAGCGACUUGCUCGUGGAGCUGAAAUCAGUCGAAGAUACCAGCUGGCUGCAACUGUUUAUUAAAAACACAGCACUGUGCAAACACGAAAGUGGACGUAUACGGUGUGACGCCUGCCCGGUGCCGGAAGGUUAAUUGAUGGGGUUAGCGGUAACGCGAAGCUCUUGAUCGAAGCCCCGGUAAACGGCGGCCGUAACUAUAACGGUCCUAAGGUAGCGAAAUUCCUUGUCGGGUAAGUUCCGACCUGCACGAAUGGCGUAAUGAUGGCCAGGCUGUCUCCACCCGAGACUCAGUGAAAUUGAACUCGCUGUGAAGAUGCAGUGUACCCGCGGCAAGACGGAAAGACCCCGUGAACCUUUACUAUAGCUUGACACUGAACAUUGAGCCUUGAUGUGUAGGAUAGGUGGGAGGCUUUGAAGUGUGGACGCCAGUCUGCAUGGAGCCGACCUUGAAAUACCACCCUUUAAUGUUUGAUGUUCUAACGUGGGCCCCUUACCGGGGUUGCGGACAGUGUCUGGUGGGUAGUUUGACUGGGGCGGUCUCCUCCUAAAGAGUAACGGAGGAGCACGAAGGUUGGCUAAUCCUGGUCGGACAUCAGGAGGUUAGUGCAAUGGCAUAAGCCAGCUUGACUGCGAGCGUGACGGCGCGAGCAGGUGCGAAAGCAGGUCAUAGUGAUCCGGUGGUUCUGAAUGGAAGGGCCAUCGCUCAACGGAUAAAAGGUACUCCGGGGAUAACAGGCUGAUACCGCCCAAGAGUUCAUAUCGACGGCGGUGUUUGGCACCUCGAUGUCGGCUCAUCACAUCCUGGGGCUGAAGUAGGUCCCAAGGGUAUGGCUGUUCGCCAUUUAAAGUGGUACGCGAGCUGGGUUUAGAACGUCGUGAGACAGUUCGGUCCCUAUCUGCCGUGGGCGCUGGAGAACUGAGGGGGGCUGCUCCUAGUACGAGAGGACCGGAGUGGACGCAUCACUGGUGUUCGGGUUGUCAUGCCAAUGGCACUGCCCGGUAGCUAAAUGCGGAAGAGAUAAGUGCUGAAAGCAUCUAAGCACGAAACUUGCCCCGAGAUGAGUUCUCCCUGACUCCUUGAGAGUCCUGAAGGAACGUUGAAGACGACGACGUUGAUAGGCCGGGUGUGUAAGCGCAGCGAUGCGUUGAGCUAACCGGUACUAAUGAACCGUGAGGCUUAACCUUACAACGCCGAAG